rnacentral:rRNA from 1 species
CUGGGAGGACCAUCUCCUAAGGCUAAAUACUCUCUAGUGACCGAUAGUGAACCAGUACCGUGAGGGAAAGGUGAAAAGCACCCCGGAAGGGGAGUGAAAUAGAACCUGAAACCGUGUGCUUACAAGUAGUCAGAGCCCGUUAAUGGGUGAUGGCGUGCCUUUUGUAGAAUGAACCGGCGAGUUACGAUUUGAUGCAAGGUUAAGCAGUAAAUGUGGAGCCGUAGCGAAAGCGAGUCUGAAUAGGGCGUUUAGUAUUUGGUCGUAGACCCGAAACCAGGUGAUCUACCCUUGGUCAGGUUGAAGUUCAGGUAACACUGAAUGGAGGACCGAACCGACUUACGUUGAAAAGUGAGCGGAUGAACUGAGGGUAGCGGAGAAAUUCCAAUCGAACCUGGAGAUAGCUGGUUCUCUCCGAAAUAGCUUUAGGGCUAGCCUCAAGUGAUGAUUAUUGGAGGUAGAGCACUGUUUGGACGAGGGGCCCCUCUCGGGUUACCGAAUUCAGACAAACUCCGAAUGCCAAUUAAUUUAACUUGGGAGUCAGAACAUGGGUGAUAAGGUCCGUGUUCGAAAGGGAAACAGCCCAGACCACCAGCUAAGGUCCCAAAAUAUAUGUUAAGUGGAAAAGGAUGUGGCGUUGCCCAGACAACUAGGAUGUUGGCUUAGAAGCAGCCAUCAUUUAAAGAGUGCGUAAUAGCUCACUAGUCGAGUGACACUGCGCCGAAAAUGUACCGGGGCUAAACAUAUUACCGAAGCUGUGGAUUGUCCUUUGGACAAUGGUAGGAGAGCGUUCUAAGGGCGUUGAAGCAUGAUCGUAAGGACAUGUGGAGCGCUUAGAAGUGAGAAUGCCGGUGUGAG